rnacentral:rRNA from 1 species
UACGUAGGGGGCAAGCGUUGUCCGGAUUUAUUUGGGCGUAAAGAGCUCGUAGGUGGUUCGGUAAGUCGGAUGUGAAAUCUCCAGGCUCAACCUGGAGGGGUCAUUCGAUACUGCCGUGACUAGAGUUCGGUAGGGGAGUGUGGAAUUCCUGGUGGAGCGGUGAAAUGACGCAGAUAUCAGGAGGAACACCCGUAGCGAAGGCGGCACUCUGGGCCGAUACUGACACUGAGGAGCGAAAGCGUGGGGAGCGAACAGG